AUUGAACGCUGGCGGCAUGCUUUACACAUGCAAGUCGAACGGCAGCACGGGGGCAACCCUGGUGGCGAGUGGCGAACGGGUGAGUAAUGCAUCGGAACGUAUCUUCAAGUGGGGGAUAACGCAUCGAAGGAUGCGCUAAUACCGCAUAAUCUCUGAGGAGAAAAGCAGGGGAUCGCAAGACCUUGCGCUUCUGGAGCGGCCGAUGUCGAUUAGCUAGUUGGUGGGGUAAGGCUUACCAAGGCUUCGAUCAGUAGCUGGUCUGAGAGGACGACCAGCCACACUGGGACUGAGACACGGCCCAGACCCCUACGGGA
rnacentral:rRNA from 1 species